GAUACGCACUAGGGGGGCUGCCGAAAGCGGUGGCUGAGAGGAUAUCAUAUCUGACCCUUUGAACCCGAACUGGAUAAUACCAGCGUGGGGAAGUGCAGUUCACAGUAU
rnacentral:ncRNA from 1 species